rnacentral:rRNA from 1 species
AGCAGCCGCGGUAAUUCCAGCUCCAAUAGCGUAUAUUAAAGUUGUUGCAGUUAAAAAGCUCGUAGUUGAACUUCAGGCCUGUCCAGAUGGUCCGCCUUAAUUGGUGUGUACUGUCCUUGGGUGGGUCCUACCUUCUGGCGAAGCGGCAUGGCCUUAAUUGGUUGUGUUGGGGAACCAGGACUUUUACUGUGAAAAAAUUAGAGUGUUCAAAGCAGGCAUUAUAUGCUCGAAUACAUUAGCAUGGAAUAAUGGAAUAGGACGAUGGUUCUAUUUUGUUGGUUCUAGGACCGUUGUAAUGAUUAAUAGGGAUAGUUGGGGGCAUUAGUAUUCAAUUGUCAGAGGUGAAAUUCUUGGAUUUAUUGAAGACUAACUACUGCGAAAGCAUUUGCCAAGGAUGUUUUCAUUAAUCAAGAACGAAAGUUAGGGGAUCGAAGACGAUCAGAUACCGUCGUAGUCUUAACCAUAAACUAUGCCGACUAGGAAUCGGGCGAUGUUGACAAAAUGACUCGCUCGGCACCUCAUG